rnacentral:snoRNA from 1 species
AAAAAAGCAGGAUGCUUUGCUCUUGAUAAGCAGUGUCCUCGUAAUCUUUAGGAAUAUCAUAUCCAUUGUUUUUGGGUGAACCAUUGGUCACAGUACUAUGUGUUUUAUGUCUAUUGGUUCAGUAAAUGAUGGCAAAUUU